UAUGAGAAAGAAAAACAUUUAUUCGCAGCGUCCAAAAAUCCAAAUUGUAAUUUAAUUUUUCUUGGAUUUAUCUAUCGUCAAUUGUUCACUGAUUCACUCUUUAUUCCGUAUCGGUUCCACUCGGGAAAACCAACAACAGUCUUUCGGUUCUGGCUGGGUCAUACCUGACGGUUUGAUGUCUAUGGCGCAUAUUCUGGUGGUGUCGUUUUCAACAUAACGGCGCCGUUUUAAACUUAACCGGAGUAGUCUUUAACCAUAAUCUCAAACUUCUACUUGCGUAGUUUCCUUUUUCUCGCGAACGGAAACACCGACGCCGUGAUGACGGAGUCCACUCCCACGAUCACUCCGUCUCCCCCCGUCCCGGCGUCGAGAUUGAGCCAACUGACGGAAUCGCUCAAGCUCGAGCACCAGCUCCUCCGUGCACGGUUCGAGCAAUACAAGAAGACGGUCCGUUCCAAUCACCGUUCCAUGGAGAAAGAGGUCUCUAGGAGAUUUGGCUGAUAACAAUUGGUCCAAAAGAGGUCCUUGUUUCUCGAUAGCAAGGUCUCAAACGAAAGGUUUUAUUUGAACUACAGCCGUGGGAUGCUUUAGUUCAUCAGUUUAAACAAGAAUUUUGCAAGUUAUAUGGCAUGACAAUGGAGUCGUUACUGAACAUCUACUUACAAGCAGGCUUGUCUGCACUGAAAGCUCCGCAUCCAUCAAAUCUCUAUUAAAAACUUGAUGUUUUUAAUGUCUAUUUAAAAUAAAAGAAGAGAAUAAAGUAGAGGUUAAAAUUAAUGACCAUAGUGUGACUCUUAUUCUGGUCUGAGUUUGUACCUUGACAUGACCGAAAUAUGGUUUUGAAGAAGGUUGUACCAAGGAGGACCCGCUCUCACAAGAGAGCUAACGGAAGCUAGCUUUGCCUUUACCGUACUCUAAGAAGCACCAUUCAAAGCUUGUUUGCUAUAUUUCCAAAGAGCUAAUGGACACAGAGAAUCCACAGGUGUUUCCCAAUGGCUACGUCUACAGCACCAAGGCUCUCAAGGAAAUGGCGGACAAGAGCGGAGGUGAAGUAAAAUGUACAAGGACAGGGCUUAUCUGCAAAUACACGGACUUAGUUAAGGCAUAUAUAUAUAUAUAUCAUGAACCUAGUUGCUCAUAAUCCUCACUUUCGUUUGCUUUAAUAUGAACUGAUGACAACAGAAGUGAGGUCAGUAUUCAGACCAAAACGAAAUGAAUUUCCAACUUUCUCCAUUGCUAGCUCCUGUAAAUAUGCAUUUACAAAUAAACUUUGCAUUCUAGAAAAAAGUUAUUUCUUUUGUAUCUCAGGUUAUGUACUCAUUUCAAUUCUAUAACAAUGUUCUAGUCAGCACUGA